AGAAAGUUAGGGUCAAACUAGACCAAGAGCCUUCAAAGCUCUAAGUAAGCCCUAUAGACUUAACU
rnacentral:tRNA from 1 species